rnacentral:rRNA from 1 species
GAAUUGACGGGGGCCCGCACAAGCGGUGGAGCAUGUGGUUUAAUUCGAUGCAACGCGAAGAACCUUACCUGGUCUUGACAUCCACGGAAGUUUUCAGAGAUGAGAAUGUGCCUUCGGGAACCGUGAGACAGGUGCUGCAUGGCUGUCGUCAGCUCGUGUUGUGAAAUGUUGGGUUAAGUCCCGCAACGAGCGCAACCCUUAUCCUUUGUUGCCAGCGGUCCGGCCGGGAACUCAAAGGAGACUGCCAGUGAUAAACUGGAGGAAGGUGGGGAUGACGUCAAGUCAUCAUGGCCCUUACGACCAGGGCUACACACGUGCUACAAUGGCGCAUACAAAGAGAAGCGACCUCGCGAGAGCAAGCGGACCUCAUAAAGUGCGUCGUAGUCCGGAUUGGAGUCUGCAACUCGACUCCAUGAAGUCGGAAUCGCUAGUAAUCGUGGAUCAGAAUGUCACGGUGAAUACGUUCCCGGGCCUUGUACACACCGCCCGUCACACCAUGGGAGUGGGUUGCAAAAGAAGUAGGUAGCUUAACCUUCGGGAGGGCGCUUACCACUUUGUGAUUCAUGACUGGGGUGAAGUCGUAACAAGGUAACCGUAGGGGAACCUGCGGUUGGAUCACCUCCUUACCUUAAAGAAGC